CUUUGUGUCUGAUGAAAACAAUUCUAAACCACAGGGAAAGAAUUGCAGAGAUGCAAGAUGAACUGCAGAGAAAAGAGGCCUCCUUCCAAAAGCAGAAGGCCAUUUACAAGAAAAAGGCUCAGGACAACUGGCUCAGGGCUCGUGUUGGGAAGAGGGCAGAAGUCAAACAAAUCAAUGAGACCAACUUCUUAAACAGAGGGUAAAACACUGGGACAUU